rnacentral:lncRNA from 1 species
CCCCUUUUAACGUCGAGCUCACUCCAAGACAUCUCCUCCCCUCCUCUUCGGCUUCCUCAUGAGGGAAGCAAUGGCUUCUUUAGGGUUUCAUGCUGCGACCAUCGGACUCUAGGAUGAGGGAGGGCGGCGCUUUGAGUAGCUCUCCCUCCACCUCCUCCUCCAUCAUAGCAGCCGCCGUCAAGGCGGCACCACUCCUGAAGAAGUGACACUAGAAGGAGGGGGACUUCCUGGGGGUCUCGGAGGCCGCUAUCUCCAAGCCUCCUGGGAGAGCAUGUAAUAUCUGAACCAAAAAGAGGAAAAGAUUAGUAAAAAAAGAUAAUAAUAAUACUCAUCUUCAUCUAAUCGUCAGAAGGGGAGUAUAUGAGACCAAAAUGGGGAUCUUUAGCCUUCGAAAGCUCAGAUCCAAGACCGGCACACCCAUCUCCAACUUAGGUCGGCUAGGGUUUCAGAGGGUCAGCUAGGAUUUCAGAGAGAAAGAUAAAAGAGAACAGAAGGGACGACAGCAUCUAGAGAAUUUCAAUCCUUAUAUAUUGUCGGGUUUGGGUGAUGGAUCAGGCC